AGGGCGGAAAAGGAUCCAGAUGUGGACUUGGAGGGGGUAGGGGGCGGGAAGAGCAGCUGAGAGAGGGGUGGCUGCCGCCUGUCCUAUCCCAAAAUGAGCCCCAAAGUCCGAGCCUCUGGAAUCCUUGGGAGAGUUGGAUGGGACAGCAGAGGCCCCAAAGUGCCAGCCUGCCGGUACCGCUUCACGCGCAACGGAGACUGUGGCUUUUGGGAUUCCCCCCACCCCGAGCUAGCCUGGGACGUAGCCUCAGGGAACAGGAAACUUGCGCCUGUUCUGGCCAAUUGCUCUUAGGGGAGAUGGAAUGCGCCAAUGGGGUGCAGGCCCCAGGCGGUCUCCAAAUUUUCCUGGAGGGCGAGAGUUUCCUGCCCUACCGAACAAAUUCGGGCCCCGCCUCCCCACGACUUCUUACAUUCGGGGCCUUACGCCGGAUAUUUGUACCAAUGGGGCCCCAGAUGAAGCCACUUUAAAAUAUCGAGUGCUUGGUCCUCUCUGCCGCGCUGCCACUCCAGAUUAAGAACCCCCGGUAGAAACAAGAAGAUAAAGCAAACGGAGAAGACAGCCAACUCUGAUGAAAGUCGGUGACCGGUCUUGAUCGCAUCCCUGUUCUCAGUGAAGAGAUGGUGACUGGGGUUUCAGAAUGUUGUGUUCUCCAUCAGACUGGGUAGUUGUUUUUGCUCUUUUUUUGUACUAUAAGGGAUUAUUCUGGAAUGCAAGGCUUGAACAUGAUUCUGUGCUUGUUUUAAGCAUCAAUGAAUCAUUUUUUAAAAUAUGGCCAGCAGUUUUUUCAGGAGGCAUGGGGUAGGGGGGAGGCCUUCACACUGUGUAAGGAACCUCUAGUAUGGAUAUUUCUUCCAGAACCCAUACUAUAGAAGCUUAGAGAAUUUAAGGGGUCAGUAAGAGGUCAAAUGACUUGACCAGGACCAAGCAGCUAGUACAGACAUGGGGGACAUGCAGCCUCAAGGUCCACAUGUGGCCCUCUAGGUCCUCAAGUGCAGACAGAAUGAAUGUCAUUCCCCACCCCUGAGCGAAAUGUCAGAGGCAUGAUUCAAGAUUAAAUCUUCCUGAAGCCCAGCCCACCUUUAUCCACCAAACCCAGUGGUUCUCCAACACUUCCACAGUCAUAGAACCUUUUAGUUUAAACAAAACUUUGACAGAACUUUUGUUCUUUGACAGAACUCUAAAAUUGUUUAAUGCCUAUUAAUGAAUAACAAGGAUGAUGUAAAAAAAAUUGGAGGUGUUUCAGGGUUUUCCAAAGCACUGAUUGCAAACCACCAAAUUAAACUGUGUUGCCCCUCCUGUAAUUUGUAGUCUCAGAAAGUUGUCUGGGUACUGAAUUGUUAAAUGACUUGUCCAGGGUCACAGGAGUAGUAGGUGUUAGAGACAAGUCUUGACUUGAAGGCUUGCCUUCUAUGCCACACUGCCUCUCUCAAACCAGCAGGAAUUGUGGCAACACAUGAGACGUGGAGAACCAUUGUGCUUUUCACGAGCAUCCCUCAUAAUUGUUUUACUAGGAGUGGUCAAGACUUUUGGGCAUUAGAAAUGAGGUGGGAUUGGCUACAGCACAUAGUGUGUCCAUGCCGAAAUCUUUUUGGCUGCCCGUUGGUUGAGAGAGUCCCAGACGGGGAUGCUGAAUUACUGGGCAUUAUUGUGAUCUUUUUGACAUCAGUAUUCCACUGGGGAUGUUGGGUGACUGUGAGUCAUAGGGACUGCACAGUCAUCUCCAAAGCAUAACAACUGGAGACAGGACUUUGUCUUGAAGACUUUCCUAAUCCACAGCACCUUUCAUAAUAUGGUAGUCUCUUCCACAUCUGACAACCUGUCAGUGAAGGAGUUCAUAGAAGAGAUGUCCUUGGGCAAGUGUUGACUGUUCUGAGGUGCUGCAGAUGAGCCAGGGGGUGGGCUAUGGAGCAUGCUUUCUGUUUCACCCAAAUUCUCCCCACCCCCAUGGCUAGCCAAUAUCACUCUCGGUACAGAAUCAGUACUCAAUACUUUCUGGCUCCCUCAUUUUGGUAUUUUUAUUCAGCUGGCAUUUGUGGUCUAACUCUUUACUGAAGUCCCCCUCCCAUGCAUCAUCAUAGUGUGGUGACCAUCAUGGUCCUCUGAGGGGAUUGCUAACGGAAAGCAAGCCCCUGCAGGCUCUACACAGCUGAGGAGGCUUCAGACUCAGGCCCUGGGACGGGUAGCAUAUCUCUUAUCUGGAGGACUAACCUAGCUUCAUACAGGCUUGUCACUAAAAAGGCUGGCCUGUAGGUGAUGAAUUUCUUUUCAGCUUGCGCAAAGUAGGGAACAGAUGAAAUAUACAAGCUAGCACUCUAUCCUGUGCAGUCCCCUGUAUUUCUGUGAAUAUGGCCGUAGUCAACAUGGUAAUAGGUAGUGGUGGUUGCAUUUGAACCCGUGUUUUCUGGUUUGAAAUCAGAGGCAGGAUCAAAAUCUAUAUCAGUGUUCAUGCUCUUGCUUCAGUUCCUCUAGAUUUACUUGCACCAUUGCCUAGAGGGGACCUCUCCUUAGAGGUGUGAUUGAAAACUCAAAUGAAUGCUAAAAUAAAUAAAAUCCCUCUAGCAUA